UGAGGAAGUGAGUGAAUGUGGCUGGGACACCGCUUGCUAGCUCGGUGUAGAUUAGACCUAUCCCAGGGACUUUGACGAUCCCUAGGCUCGGGCCUCGGGUGAGGAUUGUAUUCAUGGGGACUUUGUUGUGUUGGUCGUAUAGGUACUUUCUUCGGUUUCCGUAGUGCCAGACAUAUGUGGUGAAAGUGAAGAGUAGAGAAAGGAGGAUAGUGAUCCAUCCCCCGUGUGGGAUCUUGGUCCAAGAAGAUGCUACAAAGACGAGUUCGAUGGUCCCAAAUAGGAUGGUGAAGAGAAUAGAGAAGACGAGAUGACGAUUCCAAACAAAGUUUAUGAUUAGAGGCAUCAGCCAGGUCGUCACAAACGCCAGACUCAUGCAAGCAAGUCCUGAUGAAAACCAGUAAGUCAAAAUAUCAGUAACUCUAGUUGUGUGUUCUUGUUGAUGGAAUAUAUAUUCUUUUUUAGUAUGGAGGAAGUUUGCGUACCAAAAGCGAAAGCUAUGUGUCUAGUGUCUCGGAAACCGAUGGUGACGGUGAGUGUGAGGACCAUGAGGAGCCAGUUGAUCUCGGGAAUAUAGAUUUGGCCUAGGACCCAUCUUGGUUUGUGAACAAUCUUCACACGAGGGAAGCAUCCCAGUGCAUAGCAUUGUUUGACAAUUGAGAACGUUGCAAAUAUGACGGCUUGGCUAGCAACCAUUGCAGCCAGCAUUGCCAUCAUUAGAACCGGCCAGAAAAAUGGAUCUGGAUAUCAAGCGGAAGAAUCAUGACAAGAGUGGAGCUGAGUGGAAUGCUAUGGAUCAGCCCAAGGCGUGGAGUUAGAACAGUUACCUUCUGGUUGGGAAGCUAUGGAUCAGCUACUAUAUGGAGUUAGAACAGAUACCUUCAGUUGGGAAGCUUUGAAUCAGCCCAUAGCAUGUGUGCUUGUACCUGGUUGAUGAAGUUUAAGGAAGCCAGCAAAUGGUGAUUUACAAUCUGGCCACAUAUAUGCAAGGACAAAAGGAGUAUUCAACUAGGGAUUUUCUUGGCUGAGCAAUCACAUGAUGGUGGCAGAUCAUGGAGUUGCAACGUCCCCCUACAUGUUGAAAGCUUCAAGAGUGACAAUGCACAGACUGGUUGAGAAGCAGCUGGUGUGAGGGAUUCAAGUGUUCAGUACUCCUCACCAGCAUUCCAGAAAUGUUUACAAGGUACCUAUUGAGCUCAUGAGAAAAGGCAGGCUUGGAUUCAACCCUAAAUGGAAGCAAGAAGCUAGAAGAAAGGAGGAGACAAGCUCUGGUCAUAAGAAGAAGCUCAAAGGUUGUUUUAAGUGUGAAGCAAGGAAAGCAUUGGAGUCUGCUUGCCAUUGAGGUAAGGCCAUGAUCCGGAGUUUAUGAGUCCCUCAACAUCAUCAUAAGGCUCAUAAACUCACUGGCCAAUCCCUAGGCUGAGAGGCUUGUACUCUUUUCCUAAGUGUGGUUUUAUCCCAAAGGGUUUUCUAUGUUUAGGUUUUUAAUGAGGCAAGUACUCUCAGUUUCAAGCUUGCCCAAGGAUCUCCUAUGGUCAAGCUUGAGGGGGAGUGUUGACAUGAGGCAGAAUUAAGCAGCUAGACUUGAGAAUUAAGUUGCUAUACUUGAAAAUACUUAUAAGGUCUUAUAAGGUCUUAUAAGGUUUUAUAAGGUUUUAUAAAGGUUUUAUAAGGUUUUAUAAGAAGCACCAGACUUGAGAUGUAAGCUGCUAGACUUGAGACUUGAGUGCCAGACUUGAGCCUAAGAGUGAAAUUCGUGCAACUUCAGCUUGAGAGUUAAAUUUGAAUUCAAAUUAGGUUCUGGCCUUUGGAGAGAGAGGCUGGACAAGUGAGGCUUAAAAUAACAUGUUGGAGAGAAGAAAGAUGACUGUUAGAAGCUGUCACUAUCACAUUGGAAGCUCUCCUGCAUCUCAGCCAUUCAAUUCAAAUUAAUUCAGAUCCUCUCAUCCCAACCAUUCAUUUUGAAUCCAGAUCUAUCUCUCUUUGUCUUCUUCCUCUCAUUUGUCUAGUGUGUGUGUUGGGUAUAAAGAACUCUCAUUGUAAUCAAUUAUAAUCUAAGCUGAAAGAGGGAAGUUCCCCUUUCUUCUUCACCAUUCUCUUUUCUCUUGGUUACUGUCAAUCUCUAUAAUCUCUUGAUACUCAUACUCUCUUAUUCUCAACUUAAUUUACUCUUCAUCACUUAUCUCUCUAUUUACUUUGUUCCUCAUUGUCUUUUACUCUCAUAUUAAUCAUCAUCUUUUCUUACAUGAUAGCAUUUCAAGAACAAGAUGAUUUGUGUGUUUAAGAACUUUAUUGAAUAUAAACUAGAGAUAGCUCAAAGAGCUUUAUUAUGCAGAAAAUUAAAGAAAGGAAAAGGCUUUAGCUUUGCCACCAAGAACACAAGAACUUAAACUGAUAUUUCAUUAAGGAUAAGAGGGGCUGCCUUUCACGGCAGCAAAGUUACUUUGUCACAACACAUUACAAUCCUAAUUAUACUACUAAUUCACUUGCAAAGGAACCCUAACACACAUGGGUUUAUAACAUAGAAAUGGGCUUGUUGGUAUUGUCUUGGGCUUGUCUUGUGUACUCUAAUACACGGCCUAUAAGGUAUCGUUCCUUCUGCGGUAUGUAAGGGAUAGGGACGGUUUUGGAGCAGAUAAAGACAACCACUUGGUAGAACGCUGGUAAGUUGGUGAGGAAGUGAGUGAAUGUGGCUGGGACACCGCUUGCUAGCUCGGUGUAGAUUAGACCUAUCCCAGGGACUUUGACGAUCCCUAGGCUCGGGCCUCGGGUGAGGAUUGUAUUCAUGGGGACUUUGUUGUGUUGGUCGUAUAGGUACUUUCUUCGGUUUCCGUAGUGCCAGACAUAUGUGGUGAAAGUGAAGAGUAGAGAAAGGAGGAUAGUGAUCCAUCCCCCGUGUGGGAUCUUGGUCCAAGAAGAUGCUACAAAGACGAGUUCGAUGGUCCCAAAUAGGAUGGUG
rnacentral:lncRNA from 1 species